rnacentral:rRNA from 1 species
AACGAACGCUGGCGGCAUGCCUAACACAUGCAAGUCGAACGAACCCUUCGGGGUUAGUGGCGCACGGGUGCGUAACGCGUGGGAAUCUGCCCUUUGCUUCGGAAUAACAGUUAGAAAUGACUGCUAAUACCGGAUGAUGUCUUCGGACCAAAGAUUUAUCGGCAAGGGAUGAGCCCGCGUAGGAUUAGGUAGUUGGUGGGGUAAAGGCCUACCAAGCCGACGAUCCUUAGCUGGUCUGAGAGGAUGGUCAGCCACACUGGGACUGAGACACGGCCCAGACUCCUACAGGAGGCAGCAGUGGGGAAUAGUGGACAAUGGGCGCAAGCCUGAUCCAGCAAUGCCGCGUGAGUGAUGAAGGCUUGCGGGUCGUAAAGCUCUUUUACCAGGGAUGAUAAUGACAGUACCUGGAGAAUAAGCUCCGGCUAACUCCGUGCCAGCAGCCGCCGUAACAC